rnacentral:snRNA from 1 species
CUUCUCACUUUGACAGCACAUAUACAAAAAUUGGAACGAUACAGGGAAGGUUAGCAUAGCCACUACGCAAUGAUCACAUGUGAAGCGUUCCAUAUUUUU